CCCGGGGGCUUGGGGAUUCCCNCUAGGUUAACCGGCCCCGCCNAGGUGUUGGCUUGGAAAUUUCCGCCCCUUUNCGNGGGCCCUAAUUCAAGNUUUGUUGGGUGGAGGGUAAAAGGCCUCNCCCAAAGGGCGGAUGAAUACCAUAAGCCCGNCCCUGGAGAAGGGGUGGAUUCGGGCCCACCAUUUGGGGACUUGNGACNACGGCCCCAAAACCUCCUUCCGGGAGGCCAGCCAGUAGGGGAAUUNUUCGGCCAAUGGACGAAAGUCUGACCGAGCAACGCCGCGUGAGUGAAGAAGGUUUUCGGAUCGUAAAACUUCUGUUGGUAGAGAAGAACGUUGGUGAGAGUGGAAAGCUCAUCAAGGUGACGGUAACUACCCAGAAAGGGACGGCUAACUACGUGCCAGCAGCCGCGGUAAUACGUAGGUCCCGAGCGUUGUCCGGAUUUAUUGGGCGUAAAGCGAGCGCAGGUGGUUUAUUAAGUCUGGUGUAAAAGGCAGUGGCUCAACCAUUGUAUGCAUUGGAAACUGGUAGACUUGAGUGCAGGAGAGGAGAGUGGAAUUCCAUGUGUAGCGGUGAAAUGCGUAGAUAUAUGGAGGAACACCGGUGGCGAAAGCGGCUCUCUGGCCUGUAACUGAUACUGAGGCUCGAAAGCGUGGGGAGCAAACAGGAUUAGAUACCCUGGUAGUCCACGCCGUAAACGAUGAGUGCUAGAUGUAGGGAGCUAUAAGUUCUCUGUAUCGCAGCUAACGCAAUAAGCACCCCGCCUGGGGAGUACGG
rnacentral:rRNA from 1 species